UACGAAGGGGGCUAGCGUUGUUCGGAAUUACUGGGCGUAAAGGGCGCGUAGGCGGUGUGUCACGUCGUUCGUGAAAACCUGCAGCUUAACUGUGGGCGUGCGGUCGAUACGGGCAUCACUGGAGUUCGGCAGGGGAGACUGGAAUUCCUGGUGUAGCGGUGAAAUGCGCAGAUAUCAGGAGGAACACCGGUGGCGAAGGCGGGUCUCUGGGCCGAUACUGACGCUGAGGAGCGAAAGCGUGGGGAGCGAACAGG
rnacentral:rRNA from 1 species